rnacentral:rRNA from 1 species
AACGAACGCUGGCGGCAGGCUUAACACAUGCAAGUCGAACGCCCCGCAAGGGGAGUGGCAGACGGGUGAGUAACGCGUGGGAAUCUACCCAGUUCUACGGAACAACAGAGGGAAACUUCUGCUAAUACCGUAUACGCCCUAAGGGGGAAAGAUUUAUCGGAAUUGGAUGAGCCCGCGUAAGAUUAGCUAGUUGGUGAGGUAAUGGCUCACCAAGGCGACGAUCUUUAGCUGGUCUGAGAGGAUGAUCAGCCACACUGGGACUGAGACACGGCCCAGACUCCUGCGGGAGGCAGCAGUGGGGAAUAUUGGACAAUGGGCGCAAGCCUGAUCCAGCCAUGCCGCGUGAGUGAUGAAGGCCUUAGGGUUGUAAAGCUCUUUCAGUAGGGAAGAUAAUGACGGUACCUACAGAAGAAGCCCCGGCUAACUUCGUGCCAGCAGCCGCCGCGGUAA